rnacentral:rRNA from 1 species
UACGGAGGGAGCUAGCGUUAUUCGGAGUUACUGGGCGUAAAGCGCGUGUAGGCGGCUAAGUAAGUCGGGCGUGAAAUCCCACGGCUCAACCGUGGAAGUGCACUCGAAACUGCAUAGCUAGAGUCCUGGAGAGGAAGGUGGAAUGCUUGGUGUAGAGGUGAAAUUCGUAGAUAUCAAGCGGAACACCGGUGGCGAAGGCGGGUCUCUGGUCUGUAACUGACGCUGAGGCGCGAAAGCGUGGGGAGCAAACAGGAUUGAGAAACCCU